UACGGGGGGAGCAAGCGUUGUUCGGAUUUACUGGGCGUAAAGGGCGCGUAGGCGGCCAGCACAAGUCAGUUGUGAAAUCUCCGGGCUUAACCCGGAAAGGUCAGCCGAUACUGCGGGGCUAGAGUGCAGAAGGGGCAACUGGAAUUCUCGGUGUAGCGGUGAAAUGCGUAGAUAUCGAGAGGAACACCUGCGGCGAAGGCGGGUUGCUGGGCUGACACUGACGCUGAGGCGCGAAAGCUAGGGGAGCGAACGGG
rnacentral:rRNA from 1 species